GUAUCAAAAUAUAAAAGGUUGAUGGAGGAAGAGACACAUGUUGCCGACUAUGUAUUUGACGAGUCAAAAGAUCCAAGUGAGAUGCUUUGUGCAUAUGGUGGCUAUGGCGUGACACGGGAACAAUUUCAAUGCUUAGUAGGGGAGAACUUCAUUGAUAUUCCGGUAAGGUUUAUGAUAAAUAAGAAAAAAAUACCUUCAUCUUUCCAUUGAUCAUUUUAACUAAUGAAGAGGCAUUAUGUAGGUGAUUUCCAUGUUUUGCCGAUACAUGAAUGCAAAAGAAGAGAAUCCUUAUCGCAGACAUUUUUUUAAUCCAUACUUUGGGGAAAUAUGUGGUUCAAUGAGCAAGUCUACCUCAAAAUCAACACUCAAGAAAAGAUUAGGUAGCUAUUGUGUUAAUCUUGAAUGUUGCAACCAGUUUUAUAUCCCCUUAUUCCAAUUUAAUGAAUGGGUCAUCAUGGUAAUCAAUUUGGAGGCUAAAAGGGUGGAUCUACUUUCAUCAUAUAAUAGCAUUCAACGUGUUCACUUUGUUAAUGAAGCUUUCAAAGUAGUUGGAUUUAUGUCGCAGUUAUUAAAAAAUUCCUUCAAACAGAAUGAUGUGAAUAUAAAUAAUUUACAUCCACAGUACGCAG